GCCUGACGUAUUCCAUUACUAGCGGCGAGUGAGCCAGCUUUCCUCUUUUGCUUAUGCGGCACUUUCCGUGGCCGCGUUGUAAUUUGAAGAAGUAUCUUUUCCUCCGGUUAUUGACUCGCAUUCUUGGAACAGAACGUCACAGAGGGUGAGAAUCCCGUGCGAUGAGAUGUCCCAGACCUAUGUAAAGUUCCUUCGAAGAGUCGAGUUGUUUGGGAAUGCAGCUCUAAGUGGGUGGUAAAUUCCAUCUAAAGCUAAAUAUUGGCGAGAGACCGAUAGCGAACAAGUACAGUGAUGGAAAGAUGAAAAGAACUUUGAAAAGAGAGUGAAAAAGUACGUGAAAUUGUUGAAAGGGAAGGGCUUGAGAUCAGACUUGGUAUUUUGUAUGUUACUCUCUCGGGGGUGGCCUCUACAGUUUACCGGGCCAGCAUCAGUUUGAGCGGUAGGAUAAGUGCAAAGAAAUGUGGCACUGCUUCGGUAGUGUGUUAUAGUCUUUGUCGAUACUGCCAGCUUAGACUGAGGACUGCGGCUUCGGCCUAGGAUGUUGGCAUAAUGAUCUUAAGUCGCCCGUCUUGACCACGGACCAA
rnacentral:rRNA from 1 species